UGGGAAUAUUGGACAAUGGGCGAAAGCCUGAUCCAGCCAUGCCGCGUGUGUGAAGAAGGCCUUUUGGUUGUAAAGCACUUUAAGUGGGGAGGAAAAGCUUGUGGUUAAUACCCAUAAGCCCUGACGUUACCCACAGAAUAAGCACCGGCUAACUCUGUGCCAGCAGCCGCGGUAAUACAGAGGGUGCAAGCGUUAAUCGGAAUUACUGGGCGUAAAGCGCGCGUAGGUGGUUAUUUAAGUCAGAUGUGAAAGCCCCGGGCUUAACCUGGGAACUGCAUCUGAUACUGGAUAACUAGAGUAGGUGAGAGGGGAGUAGAAUUCCAGGUGUAGCGGUGAAAUGCGUAGAGAUCUGGAGGAAUACCGAUGGCGAAGGCAGCUCCCUGGCAUCAUACUGACACUGAGGUGCGAAAGCGUGGGUAGCAAACAGGAUUAGAUACCCUGGUAGUCCACGCCGUAAACGAUGUCUACCAGUCGUUGGGUCUUUUAAAGACUUAGUGACGCAGUUAACGCAAUAAGUAGACCGCCUGGGGAGUACGGCCGCAAGGUUA
rnacentral:rRNA from 1 species